UCAAAAAUUAUCAUGAUAUUAGGUAACUUAUUGACUGAAACAUUCAUAAGAAUUUUUAGCUGGAGCACGACUCCUUACACAAGGACUGAAAUCAUCAACAAAGCUAGCAACAUAACACAAAUAGUUCGCAGCUUGGCCGCUUGUGUCACAAACAAUAUCUUGCUCCUAACAUAUAUAUUGACAAAACAUUUAUCCUGAUGCCUGAAAGAAUCACUAAACUUUUAUACCUCGGCUUCCUCGACAUUUUCUUCUUCCUCCCCACUAAUAUCUUGCUCCUCGUCGCCAUGAUAAUGCAAGUUUAAAAAUUGGCUGCCAUCGUUCUCGUCCUCAUCAAACUCUGGAGCUAUGUGCCCAGUACUACCACGAAUGAGCUCGUGCAUUAACUCGUCCGUAGGAUCCAUUUCCACUACCUGAAACAUUAAAAAAACAUUAAGUAUUUUCUAGUACCAAUAAAAUGUACAUAUUUGCAAAAAUAUUGUAUCAGAAGAGAGUGUAGAAUAUUUCAUGGCUACUCAAUUAUUUACCAAAGACAUGAACCGUGAGAGUGUAAAAAUAUUGUAUCUUGCUGCUGAAUUACUUGGUGCAAAAAUACAGCAGAAUGAACACUGCCCGAUUGAAGAUGCCCGAGCUGCGAUGUUCAUUUACAACAAGCACAAGAAAGCAUGGGAGAAGAGCAUGAAGCGAGGGAAAAAGAAACCUGCUGAGCCCAAUGUGAAUGACCCCAAUGUCCCCACUGUUCUUCUAUAAUGCAUCAGAACCUGUGUGAACCAUUUCCCUAGAAGUCUUUCAUUCUGACAAGGGGGUGACAGGACGGGGUUGCUGAGAAUUGGAUUCUGAGGACUGGGGUGCCUUGCAGCAAUUGUAGCAGGUGUGAAACCUCUCUGCUGCUCAUGCCGUUUCCUAACUAUAAACUGGUGCUGGUGCAGUGGCAGGGAGUUCGUGUCCAACAUGUGCAGGAUGACCACCAUGAGCAAGGAGCAGGCGAACAUCGGGAUGGGCCCGAAGAUCCACAUGAGCAGCGUAACAUAUUUGCAAAAAUAUUGUAUGAGAAGAGAGUGUAGAAUAUUUCAUGGCUACUCAAUUAUUUACUAAAGACAUGAACCGUGAGAUUUUCUA